UACGGGGGGGGCAAGCGUUGUUCGGAAUUACUGGGCGUAAAGCGUGCGCAGGCGGCGCGUUAAGACAGGUGUGAAAGCCCCGAGCUUAACUUGGGAAUUGCGCUUGUGACUGGCGUGCUGGAGUGUGGCAGAGGGAGGUGGAAUUCCACGUGUAGCAGUGAAAUGCGUAGAUAUGUGGAGGAACACCGAUGGCGAAGGCAGCCCCCUGGGUUAACACUGACGCUCAUGCACGAAAGCGUGGGGAGCAAACAGG
rnacentral:rRNA from 1 species